GCUGACACAUCCCGCCCAAUCUCCAGCAGACCCUCCCUCCCAGACCCUCCCACCUCCUGGACAGCAUCCAUGUUGAAGCUGCCUUCAACAUGGAUGCUGUCCAGGAGGUGGGAGGGUCUGGGAGGGAGGGUCUGCUGGAGAUUGGCCGGGAUGUGUCAG
rnacentral:miRNA from 1 species